rnacentral:misc_RNA from 1 species
GUAAAGAUUAUUGAGGUUAGGAAGAAAUUGUAUUAAUUAACGAGUAAAAUAAUUAGUUAAUAUUAUAAUGAUAGGAUUAAAUUUAUAUAUAAUAAUAUUAAUUUUAAAUGUAAAUGGGUUAAAUGUUUUAAUUAAAAGAUAUAGAUUGGUAAAUUGGAUAAAGAGUUAAGAUUUAUUAGUGUGUUGUAUUUAGGAGAUUUAUUUUAUGUGUAAAGAUAUAUAUAGGUUUAAAAUAAAGGGAUGGAGGAAGAUUUAUUAAGUAAAUGGAAAAUAAAAAAAGGUAGGGGUUGUAAUUUUAGUUUUUGAUAAAAUAGAUUUUAAAUUAAUAAAGAUUAAAAGAGAUAAAGAAGGUUAUUAUAUAAUGGUAAAGGGAUUAAUUUAAUAAGAAGAGUUAAUUAUUUUAAAUAUAUAUGUAUUUAAUAUAGGAGUAUUUAGAUUUAUAAAGUAAGUUUUUAGAGAUUUAUAAAGAGAUUUAGAUUUUUAUAUAAUAAUAAUGGGAGAUUUUAAUAUUUUAUUGUUAAUAUUAGAUAGAUUAAUGAGAUAGAAAGUUAAUAAGGAUAUUUAGGAAUUGAAUUUAGUUUUGUAUUAAGCGGAUUUAAUAGAUAUUUAUAGAAUUUUUUAUUUUAAAUUAAUAGAAUAUAUAUUUUUUUUAGUAUUAUAUUAUAUUUAUUUUAAAAUUGAUUAUAUAGUUGGAAGUAAAGUA